rnacentral:piRNA from 1 species
UGUGCAUGUCACUAGGCUUACGUUUAAAUU